rnacentral:rRNA from 1 species
GAUGAACGCUGGCGGCGUGCCUAAUACAUGCAAGUCGAGCGAACGGACGAGAAGCUUGCUUCUCUGAUGUUAGCGGCGGACGGGUGAGUAACACGUGGAUAACCUACCUAUAAGACUGGGAUAACUUCGGGAAACCGGAGCUAAUACCGGAUAAUAUUUUGAACCGCAUGGUUCAAAAGUGAAAGACGGUCUUGCUGUCACUUAUAGAUGGAUCCGCGCUGCAUUAGCUAGUUGGUAAGGUAACGGCUUACCAAGGCAACGAUGCAUAGCCGACCUGAGAGGGUGAUCGGCCACACUGGAACUGAGACACGGUCCAGACUCCUACGGGAGGCAGCAGUAGGGAAUCUUCCGCAAUGGGCGAAAGCCUGACGGAGCAACGCCGCGUGAGUGAUGAAGGUCUUCGGAUCGUAAAACUCUGUUAUUAGGGAAGAACAUAUGUGUAAGUAACUGUGCACAUCUUGACGGUACCUAAUCAGAAAGCCACGGCUAACUACGUGCCAGCAGCCGCGGUAAUACGUAGGUGGCAAGCGUUAUCCGGAAUUAUUGGGCGUAAAGCGCGCGUAGGCGGUUUUUUAAGUCUGAUGUGAAAGCCCACGGCUCAACCGUGGAGGGUCAUUGGAAACUGGAAAACUUGAGUGCAGAAGAGAAAAGUGGAAUUCCAUGUGUAGCGGUGAAAUGCGCAGAGAUAUGGAGGAACACCAGUGGCGAAGGCGACUUUCUGGUCUGUAACUGACGCUGAUGUGCGAAAGCGUGGGGAUCAAACAGGAUUAGAUACCCUGGUAGUCCACGCCGUAAACGAUGAGUGCUAAGUGUUAGGGGGUUUCCGCCCCUUAGUGCUGCAGCUAACGCAUUAAGCACUCCGCCUGGGGAGUACGACCGCAAGGUUGAAACUCAAAGGAAUUGACGGGGACCCGCACAAGCGGUGGAGCAUGUGGUUUAAUUCGAAGCAACGCGAAGAACCUUACCAAAUCUUGACAUCCUUUGACAACUCUAGAGAUAGAGCUUUCCCCUUCGGGGGACAAAGUGACAGGUGGUGCAUGGUUGUCGUCAGCUCGUGUCGUGAGAUGUUGGGUUAAGUCCCGCAACGAGCGCAACCCUUAAGCUUAGUUGCCAUCAUUAAGUUGGGCACUCUAAGUUGACUGCCGGUGACAAACCGGAGGAAGGUGGGGAUGACGUCAAAUCAUCAUGCCCCUUAUGAUUUGGGCUACACACGUGCUACAAUGGACAAUACAAAGGGCAGCGAAACCGCGAGGUCAAGCAAAUCCCAUAAAGUUGUUCUCAGUUCGGAUUGUAGUCUGCAACUCGACUACAUGAAGCUGGAAUCGCUAGUAAUCGUAGAUCAGCAUGCUACGGUGAAUACGUUCCCGGGUCU